rnacentral:rRNA from 1 species
CACGUAGGGUGCAAGCGUUGUCCGGAAUUAUUGGGCGUAAAGGGCUCGUAGGCGGUCCGUCACGUUGGGAGUGAAAACUCGGGGCUCAACCCCGAGCCUGCUUUCGAUACGGGCGGACUAGAGGUAGGUAGGGGAGAACGGAAUUCCUGGUGUAGCGGUGGAAUGCGCAGAUAUCAGGAGGAACACCGGUGGCGAAGGCGGUUCUCUGGGCCUUACCUGACGCUGAGGAGCGAAAGCGUGGGGAGCGAACAGG